GGCAGUGGCGGCGUCUCCUAAUGCAGUCGAGCGGACAGAUGGGAGCUUGCUCCCUGAUGUUAGCGGCGGACGGGUGAGUAACACGUGGGUAACCUGCCUGUAAGACUGGGAUAACUCCGGGAAACCGGGGCUAAUACCGGAUGGUUGUUUGAACCGCAUGGUUCAGACAUAAAAGGUGGCUUCGGCUACCACUUACAGAUGGACCCGCGGCGCAUUAGCUAGUUGGUGAGGUAACGGCUCACCAAGGCGACGAUGCGUAGCCGACCUGAGAGGGUGAUCGGCCACACUGGGACUGAGACACGGCCCAGACUCCUACGGGAGGCAGCAGUAGGGAAUCUUCCGCAAUGGACGAAAGUCUGACGGAGCAACGCCGCGUGAGUGAUGAAGGUUUUCGGAUCGUAAAGCUCUGUUGUUAGGGAAGAACAAGUGCCGUUCAAAUAGGGCGGCACCUUGACGGUACCUAACCAGAAAGCCACGGCUAACUACGUGCCAGCAGCCGCGGUAAUACGUAGGUGGCAAGCGUUGUCCGGAAUUAUUGGGCGUAAAGGGCUCGCAGGCGGUUUCUUAAGUCUGAUGUGAAAGCCCCCGGCUCAACCGGGGAGGGUCAUUGGAAACUGGGGAACUUGAGUGCAGAAGAGGAGAGUGGAAUUCCACGUGUAGCGGUGAAAUGCGUAGAGAUGUGGAGGAACACCAGUGGCGAAGGCGACUCUCUGGUCUGUAACUGACGCUGAGGAGCGAAAGCGUGGGGAGCGAACAGGAUUAGAUACCCUGGUAGUCCACGCCGUAAACGAUGAGUGCUA
rnacentral:rRNA from 1 species